AUGAAGUUGAAAGUUGCGGUUUGUAUGUAUGUAUAUGUCUCCCUCUCCCUGUUGCUUCUAUAUUAUGUUAUAGUAAAUGAAAAUAACAUUUUUUGGGGGGGAAAAUUGAUAAUUUUUUUCAAACAAUUUGGGUAUGCUGAAACUGGACUUUUUAUGGCAGUUUUGUUUUGCUGGCUUUAUACACGGUUUUGGACAAUUUUGUAG